rnacentral:rRNA from 1 species
GACGAACGCUGGCGGCGUGCUUAACACAUGCAAGUCGAACGGUGAAGCUCCAGCUUGCUGGUGUGGAUCAGUGGCGAACGGGUGAGUAACACGUGAGCAACCUGCCCCUGACUCUGGAAUAAGCGCUGGAAACGGCGUCUAAUACUGGAUACGAGAAGGGUCCGCAUGGGCACUUUCUGGAAAGUUUUUCGGUUGGGGAUGGGCUCGCGGCCUAUCAGCUUGUUGGUGAGGUAAUGGCUCACCAAGGCGACGACGGGUAGCCGGCCUGAGAGGGCGACCGGCCACACUGGGACUGGGACACGGCCCAGACUCCUCCGGGAGGCAGCAGUGGGGAAUAUUGCACAAUGGGCGAAAGCCUGAUGCAGCGACGCCGCGUGAGGGAUGACGGCCUUCGGGUUGUAAACCUCUUUCAGCAGGGAAGAAGCGAAAGUGACGGUACCUGCAGAAGAAGCACCGGCUAACUACGUG